UGGAUGAUGUGGUUUAAUUCGAUGCAACGCGAAAACCUUACCACCUUUGACAUGUACGGAAUCCUUUAGAGAUAGAGGAGUGCUCGAAAGAGAGCCGUAACACAGGUGCUGCAUGGCUGUCGUCAGCUCGUGUCGUGAGAUGUUGGGUUAAGUCCCGCAACGAGCGCAACCCUUGUCAUUAGUUGCUACAUUCAGUUGGGCAUUCUAAUGAGACUGCCGGUGACAAACCGGAGGAAGGUGGGGAUGACGUCAAGUCCUCAUGGCCCUUAUAGGUGGGGCUACACACGUCAUACAAUGGAUGGUACAAAGGGUCGCCAACCCGCGAGGGGGAGCCAAUCCCAUAAAGCCAUUCGUAGUCCGGAUCGCAGUCUGCAACUCGACUGCGUGAAGUCGGAAUCGCUAGUAAUCGUGGAUCAGAAUGUCACGGUGAAUACGUUCCCGGGUCUU
rnacentral:rRNA from 1 species